rnacentral:snRNA from 1 species
UUAAUUGAAACAAUGACGUGAUAAGUAGCUUGAAAUUGGACGAUAUGCAGAGAAGAGAUGCGGAGAAGAGAUGCAUGGCCCCUGCGCAAGGAUGACGCACAAAUCAAGAAAUGGUUCAAUUUUUU